CCUACGGGAGGCAGCAGUAGGGAAUCUUCCGCAAUGGACGAAAGUCUGACGGAGCAACGCCGCGUGAACGGUGAAGGCCUUCGGGUCGUAAAGUUCUGUUGUUAGGGAAGAACAAGUGCUAGUUAAAUAAGCUGGCACCUUGACGGUACCUAACCAGAAAGCCACGGCUAACUACGUGCCAGCAGCCGCGGUAAUACGUAGGUGGCAAGCGUUGUCCGGAAUUAUUGGGCGUAAAGCGCGCGCAGGCGGUUUCUUAAGUCUGAUGUGAAAGCCCCCGGCUCAACCGGGGAGGGUCAUUGGAAACUGGGAAACUUGAGUGCAGAAGAGGAAAGUGGAAUUCCAAGUGUAGCGGUGAAAUGCGUAGAGAUUUGGAGGAACACCAGUGGCGAAGGCGACUUUCUGGUCUGUAACUGACGCUGAGGCGCGAAAGCGUGGGGAGCAAACAGGAUUAGAUACCCUGGUAGUCCACGCUGUAAACGAUGAGUGCUAAGUGUUAGAGGGUUUCCGCCCUUUAGUGCUGAGUUAACGCAUUAAGCACUCCGCCUGGGGAGUACGGUCGCAAGACUGAAACUCAAAUGAAUUGACGG
rnacentral:rRNA from 1 species